UCGAACGAAACACCUUAUUUGAUUUUCUUCGGAACUGAAGAUUUGGUGAUUGAGUGGCGGACGGGUGAGUAACGCGUGGGUAACCUACCCUGUACAGGGGGAUAACAGUCAGAAAUGACUGCUAAUACCGCAUAAGACCACAGCACCGCAUGGUGCAGGGGUAAAAACUCCGGUGGUACAGGAUGGACCCGCGUCUGAUUAGCUGGUUGGUGAGGUAACGGCUCACCAAGGCGACGAUCAGUAGCCGGCUUGAGAGAGUGAACGGCCACAUUGGGACUGAGACACGGCCCAAACUCCUACAGGAGGCAGCAGUGGGGAAUAUUGCACAAUGGGGGAAACCCUGAUGCAGCGACGCCGCGUGAGUGAAGAAGUAUCUCGGUAUGUAAAGCUCUAUCAGCAGGGAAGAAAAUGACGGUACCUGACUAAGAAGCCCCGGCUAACUACGUGCCAGCAGCCGCGGUAAUACGUAGGGGGCAAGCGUUAUCCGGAAUUACUGGGUGUAAAGGGUGCGUAGGUGGUAUGGCAAGUCAGAAGUGAAAACCCAGGGCUUAACUCUGGGACUGCUUUUGAAACUGUCAGACUGGAGUGCAGGAGAGGUAAGCGGAAUUCCUAGUGUAGCGGUGAAAUGCGUAGAUAUUAGGAGGAACAUCAGUGGCGAAGGCGGCUUACUGGACUGAA
rnacentral:rRNA from 1 species